rnacentral:rRNA from 1 species
AUCGUUUCAUGGCUCAGGAUGUUAGCUAGCGGCAGGCCUAAUACAUGCAAGUCGAACGAGAUUAAGAGAGUGCUUCUUAUGAUCAGGGCGCACGGGUGCGUAACGCGUAUGCAACCUACCUUAAUCAGGGAUAGCCCGAUCAAAUUCGGAUUAAGACCGCAUAAAAACACAGGAUAGCAUUAUCCAAUGUUCAAAUAUUUAUAGGAUUAAGAUGGGCAUGCGUGUCAUUAGCUAGUUGGCGGUAUAACGGCCCACCAAGGCGACGAUGACUAGGGGAUCUGAGAGGAUGACCCCCCACACUGGUACUGAGACACGGACCAGACUCCUACGGGAGGCAGCAGUAAGGAAUAUUGGUCAAUGGAGACAACUCUGAACCAGCCAUGCCGCGUGCAGGAAGACAGCCCUCUGGGUCGUAAACUGCUAUUCGGGAAUAAACCUUAGUACGUGUAGGAAGCUGAAUGUACCGAAGGAAUAAGGAUCACUAACUCCGUGCCAGCAGCCGCGGUAAUACGGAGGAUCCAAGCGUUAUCCGGAUUUAUUGGGUUCGGGGUGCGUAGGCGGCUUAUUAAGUCAGCGUGAGACGGUGGCUCAACCAUCGCAGUGCCCUUGAUACUGAUGAGCUUGAAUACACUAGAGGUAGCACGAAUGUGACAAGUAGCGGUGAAGCAUAGAUAUGUCACAGAACACCGAUUGCGAAGGCAGCUCACUAUGGUGUGAUUGACGCUGAGGCACGAAUCCGUGGGGAUCAAACAGGAUUAGAUACGGUAGUCCACGCCCUAAACGAUGAAUACUCGCUGUUAGCGAUAUACAGUUAGGCUAAGCGAAAGCGUUAAGUAUGUUACCUGGGGAGUACGCCCGCAAGGGUGAAACUCAAAGGAAUUGACGGGCUACCGCACAAGCGGAGGAGCAUGUGGUUUAAUUCGAUGAUACGCGAGGCCCCUUACCCGGGCUUGAAUCUUAGUGAAUGAUCUAGAGAUAGAUCAGUGAGCAAUCACACGAAACUAGGUGAGCGGCUGUCAGCUCGUGCCGUGAGGUGUUGUCAUAAGUACCGCAACGAGCGACGCCCCUAUGUUUAGUUGCCAGCACGUUAAGGUGGGGACUCUAAACAGACUGCCUGUGCAAACAGAGAGGAAGGAGGGGACGACGUCAAGUCAUCAUGGCCCUUACGUCCUCGGCUACACACGUGCUACAAUGGAUGGUACAGAGGGCAGCAAGCUGGCAACAGCAAGCGAAUCUCAAAGCCAUUCCUAGUUCGGAUAGAGGUCUGCAACUCGACCUCUUGAAGUUGGAUUCGCUAGUAAUCGCGUAUCACUUAUGACGCGGUGAAUACGUUCCCGGGCCUUGUACACACCGCCCGUCAAGCCAUGGAAGUUGGCGGUACCUAAAGUAUGUAACCGUAAGGCGUCCUAGGGUAAUACCGAUAACUGGAUCUAAGUCGUAACCUGGUAG